rnacentral:lncRNA from 1 species
CAAUUAGUUACUAUAUCCAGAAUAAAAUUAGUCCAAUUAAUUAGUUGGGUUUGCCCUAUUAUGAGAAGGAGAGUGAUAAUAGAACCAACAUAAUACCUGUAACAAAGAAUUUAACCAAGCAUAUGACAUAAUUUAGCAUUUAAGACAUUUGGUAAUUAAUUUAGAAAAAAAUAUAAUGCUCUCAAACUACAUGUCCUUUUGCAAGGUAUCCUAGUAUAAUAAGAAUCAAGCUUACUUGGAC